GAUGAACGCUAGCGGGAGGCCUAACACAUGCAAGCCGAGCGGUAAAGUUCCUUCGGGAACUUGAGAGCGGCGUACGGGUGCGUAACACGUGUGCAACCUACCUUUAUCUGGGGGAUAGCCUUUCUAAAGGAAGAUUAAUACCCCAUAAUAUAAUGAUUGGCAUCAAUUAUUAUUUAAAACUCCGGUGGAUAGAGAUGGGCACGCGCAAGAUUAGAUAGUUGGUGAGGUAACGGCUCACCAAGUCAAUGAUCUUUAGGGGUCCUGAGAGGGAGAUCCCCCACACUGGUACUGAGACACGGACCAGACUGCUACGGGAGGCAGCAGUGAGGAAUAUUGGACAAUGGGUGAAAGCCUGAUCCAGCCAUCCCGCGUGAAGGAUGACGGUCCUAUGGAUUGUAAACUUCUUUUGUACAGGGAUAAACCUACGCUCGUGAGGGUAGCUGAAGGUACUGUACGAAUAAGCACCGGCUAACUCCGUG
rnacentral:rRNA from 1 species